CUAUACUGUGAAACUGCGAAUGGCUCAUUAAAUCAGUUAUCGUUUAUUUGAUAGUACCUUACUACUUGGAUAACCGUGGUAAUUCUAGAGCUAAUACAUGCUAAAAAACCCGACUUCGGGAGGGUUGUAUUUAUUAGAUAAAAAACCAAUGCCCUUCGGGGCUCCUUGGUGUUCAUGAUAACUUAACGAAUCGCAUGGCCUUGCGCCGGCGAUGGUUCAUUCAAAUUUCUGCCCUAUCAACUUUCGAUGGUAAGAUAGAGGCUUACCAUGGUAUCAACGGGUAACGGGGAAUUAGGGUUCUAUUCCGGAGAGGGAGCCUGAGAAACGGCUACCACAUCCAAGGAAGGCAGCAGGCGCGCAAAUUACCCAAUCCCGACACGGGGAGGUAGUGACAAUAAAUACUGAUACAGGGCUCUUUUGGGUCUUGUAAUUGGAAUGAGUACAAUUUAAAUACCUUAACGAGGAACAAUUGGAGGGCAAGUCUGGUGCCAGCAGCCGCGGUAAUUCCAGCUCCAAUAGCGUAUAUUAAAGUGUUGCAGUUAAAAAGCUCGUAGUUGAACCUUGGGCCUGGUGGUCGGUCUGCCUCACCGCAUGUACUGAUUCGGCCGGGCCUUUCCUCCUGGGGAGCCGCAUGCCCUUCACUGGGUGUGUCGGGGAACCAGGACUUUUACUUUGAAAAAAUUAGAGUGUUCAAAGCAGGCCUUUGCUCGAAUACAUUAGCAUGGAAUAAUAGAAUAGGACGUGUGGUUCUAUUUUGUUGGUUUCUAGAACCGCCGUAAUGAUUAAUAGGAACAGUCGGGGGCGUCAGUAUUCAGUAGUCAGAGGUGAAAUUCUUGGAUUUACUGAAGACUAACUACUGCGAAAGCAUUCGCCAAGGAUGUUUUCAUUAAUCAGUGAACGAAAGUUAGGGGAUCGAAGACGAUCAGAUACCGUCGUAGUCUUAACCGUAAACUAUGCCGACUAGGGAUUGG
rnacentral:rRNA from 2 species